UCGCCAUCUUGCAACACCAAAGUAGUCUCCUCCGUUACGUUUUCAUAUGGAUUGGCUGCAAAAGUAAUUAAGUUUUCUGACUUGUGUGUGUUUAUGUCAUGUCGAAGGAUUGUCGUUUAAUAUUAUCUAUUGGAUUAUCUACUGGUAAUUCAAUUAAAAUGGCAAUCUUCCAUUCGUCCGUCAUCUAAAUUAUUGCUGGGCUUCGAAGUCGAGAUCUUCGGCUUGACGAUCUCUAAACGGACAAGCGUUACUUUACCAUCCCCCUUCAACCUUCCUUUUCCACCGUUGCUUCUUCCCCUCUAAGGAAAAGGAGGAAAAGAAGGACGAGAAAAAAAGAGAAGGUGGAGAUGGAGGAAAAGAAGGAGGUUGAGAACCAAGAAGAAUUUUCUAUUGAUCGAUCGAGAAAUGUAGCUCCCAAGGUAUAUACUCGAAGCGUCAAUUUUCAUCUCUACGUAGGGACGAUUCGAUUUUUGUUUAAAAAGAAUUUUAUUAUCAUUUAAUUGCGUUUAAUACGUCGGUAUCAUUUUUCUUUCGCCUAUCAAAUCAGAAUCAAAUUUCGAUCGAGAUCGGAUUGUAUUUAAAGAUGUAAAACUCGAAAGAGAGAGACAGAGAGAGAGACUUUUUUAAAAAUUUGAUUUAUGGUUAAAGGACAUUUCGAGGUAUUAAAAAAAGAAGAGAUCGAACAAAGAAAAUGUCAGUGUGUGCGAACAACGAUUUUUUCGAUAGCAAAAGAUAACAAAAAUAACAAAGAUUUCUGAGAGUUUUUAAAAGAUUCACCAGCAUCGAGGUUUUGACAAUCGUUUGAAAGGUUUAUUCUUAAAUGGAAAAAGAAUAAAAUACAGACGGAAAGAGAGAGAAAAAGAGAGAGAGAAAUGAAAAGAUAAAAAAAUGGAUAAUAUACAUAUAUGUAUAUGUAUAUAUUUUUUUUCGUAGUAUAAUUUAAUAAGCGAGUAUUUUCUUGAUAUUGGUGUCAUAACGGAGUAUAAACAUUGAGGUGGUUAUAUUUUUAUUUCCUCUCUUGUUUCCUUUCCCUCCCCUUUCUCUUCCUCCACCCCGUCCUCUUCCUCUUCCUCCAUUUCCUCUUUCUAACCCCCAUACUCUUUAUUUUAUUUGCUCUUUUUCUCGCUGGGUGCACAGCUACCGGGUAGCAGGUGCUGGUCGCAGCAGCGUAGCAUAGUUACUGUCAAACAAAAUUCGUUACGAAGCUCAGCAACGAUACUUCCGGUGCCGGUAAGAUCUUUCAAAAAUGUUUCCAUACGCGAUAAUGGAAUGUGCGGAAUUCGUGAGAAAUGAGUGGACCAUGAAAUUAUUUUGGACUGUUUAAACAUUUUCUUUAAAUCCUCUCUCUUUUUCUAUAAAUAGUUUUUUCUUUUCUCUUCUUUUUUUUUUUUAAUUAUUAUUUAUAGUUUUAAUUCUUUUCUCUCGUCUCCCGUGAAAAAAUAUAUUUUGGAUGAAAAAUAUUGACAUAUUCUUUGACCUUCGUCUUAAAGAACGUACAUAACAUCUAGUCUUAUUAUCCGACCUAACAAUGAUGAAAUUUUGAAAGAUCGUAAUCAUUAGAAAUCUAUCGGUCAUUAACAGACAAAGAGAUAGAAAGACAGAGAGUGAUAUAUUUAAUAAUUAAACUAAAACUGAUCCUGAUCCACAGUACUAAUACUCCGUUCUCUUAUUUAUUCGGAUCAACGGGCUAAUUACGAAAUCAAUAU